rnacentral:rRNA from 1 species
CAAUAGCGUAUAUUUAAGUUGUUGCAGUUAAAAAGCUCGUAGUUGGAUUUCGGAUGGGACUUGCCGGUCCGUCGUUUCGAUGUGCACUGGCCAGUCCUAUCUUGUUGUCGGGGACUAGCUCCUGGGCUUCACUGUCCGGGACUAGGAGCUGACGAGGUUACUUUGAGUAAAUUAGAGUGUUCAAAGCAAGCCUACGCUCUGAAUACAUUAGCAUGGAAUAACACGAUAGGACUCUGGCUUAUCUUGUUGGUCUGUGAGACCAGAGUAAUGAUUAAGAGGGACAGUCGGGGGCAUUCGUAUUUCAUUGUCAGAGGUGAAAUUCUUGGAUUUGUUGAAGACGGACUACUGCGAAAGCAUCUGCCAUGGAUGUUCUCAUUGA